CUGUUCCCAUUCCGAACACAGAAGUUAAGCUUCGUAACGCCGAGAGUAGUUAGAGGAACGCCUCUUGCGAGGGUAGGAAGUCGCCGUGC
rnacentral:rRNA from 1 species